rnacentral:rRNA from 1 species
UGAGGAAUCUUGCGCAAUGGGGGCAACCCUGACGCAGCAACGCCGCGUGAGUGAGGAAGGUCUUCGGAUUGUAAAGCUCUGUCGGAUGGAAAGAACCGCAUGGAGGCUAAUAAUCUUCAUGCCUGACGGUACCAUCAGAGGAAGCACCGGCUAACUCCGUGCCAGCAGCCGCGGUAAUACGGGGGGUGCAAGCGUUGUUCGGAAUUAUUGGGCGUAAAGAGCGUGUAGGCGGCCUGAUGUGUCAGAUGUGAAAGCCCUGGGCUCAACCCAGGAAGUGCAUUUGAAACUGUCAGGCUUGAGUAAGGGAGAGGGAAGUGGAAUUCCUGGUGUAGAGGUGAAAUUCGUAGAUAUCAGGAGGAACACCGGUGGCGAAGGCGGCUUCCUGGCCCUAUACUGACGCUGAGACGCGAGAGCGUGGGUAGCAAACAGGAUUAGAUACCCUGGUAGUCCACGCCGUAAACGAUGUUCACUAGGUGUUGAGGGUAUUGACCCCCUCAGUGCCGGAGCUAACGCAUUAAGUGUAACCGUCUCU